rnacentral:rRNA from 1 species
UACGAAGGGGGCUAGCGUUGUUCGGAUUUACUGGGCGUAAAGCGCACGUAGGCGGAUUGGUCAGUUAGGGGUGAAAUCCCAGAGCUCAACUCUGGAACUGCCCUUAAUACUGCCAGUCUAGAGUCCGGAAGAGGUAAGUGGAACUCCUAGUGUAGAGGUGGAAUUCGUAGAUAUUCGGAAGAACACCAGUGGCGAAGGCGGCUCACUGGCUCAUACUGGACGCUGAGGUGCGAAAGCGUGGGGAGCAAACAGG